CGAAGAGAAAAGACGGCGAGGCGGCCUCGGCUGUGGCCACAGAGCACAGGAUGAUCCAGCAAUGGAGGAGAAAAUUCUGCAAACUGGCUGAUUACUCAUGAAGAUGAGAUUUUAUUUUUGUGGCAGGCAUCUGUGGGGUCUGUAAUAGAAAUGAUGGCUGGCUGUGGAGAAAUUGAUCACUCUAUAAACAUGCUUCCUACGAACAGGAAAGCAAAUGAGUCCUGUUCUAAUACUGCACCUUCUCUAACUGUCCCUGAAUGUGCCAUUUGUCUGCAAACAUGUGUUCACCCAGUCACUCUGCCUUGUAAGCAUGUUUUCUGCUAUCUAUGUGUGAAGGGAGCUUCAUGGCUUGGAAAGCAAUGUGCCCUCUGUCGACAAGAAAUUCCCGAAGAUUUCCUUGAUAAGCCAACGUUGUUGUCACCAGGAGAACUCAAGGCAGCAAGUAGAGGAAAUGGUGAAUAUGCUUGGUAUUAUGAAGGAAGAAAUGGGUGGUGGCAGUAUGACGAGCGCACUAGCAGAGAGCUGGAAGAUGCUUUUUCCAAAGGUUAAAAAGAGCACUGAAAUGUUGAUUGCCGGGUUUCUGUAUGUUGCCGAUCUUGAAAAUAUGGUACAGUAUAGGAGAAACGAACAUGGACGUCGCAGGAAGAUCAAGCGGAAUAUAAUAGAUAUACCAAAGAAAGGAGUAGCCGGACUUAGGCUGGACUGUGAUGCUAAUACCGUAAACCUAGCGAGAGAAAGCUCUGCUGACGGAGCGGAAAGUGUACCGGCUCAGAGUGGAGCUUCUGUUCAGUCGUCGUCUGUGAGGCCCCUGACGUCAGUAGAUGGUCAGCUAACAAGCCCCGCCACGCCAUCCCCUGAUGCAAGCGCUUCUCUGGAAGACUCUUUUGCACAUUUACAACUUGGUGGAGACAGCAUAGCGGAAAGGAGUCAUAGAGGGGAAGGAGAAGAAGAGCAUGAAUCACCAUCUUCAGGCAGGGUACCAGCACCAGACACUUCGAUUGAAGAAACCGAAUCCGAUGCCAGUAGUGACAGUGAGGAUGUAUCUGCGCUUGUUGCAAAACACUCCUUGACCCAACAGAGACUUUUGGUUCCUAAUCCAAAUCAGACAGCAUCUGAUCGAUCGGGAACUGAUCGAUCAGUGGCAGCGGGUGGAACAGUGAGUGUCAGAUCUCGAAGGCCUGAUGGACAGUGCACAGUAACGGAAGUUUAAAUAAAAGUUUUCACAUCCAUGCUCAA